UUGGCUUGUCCAUCUAUACAAAAUACAUGCCAAACCGACUAAUGGAAACCAACUCACGUCCAGUGCAUUUUUCUUGCUAAACCAUUGAACAGACUGUAAUGGUUAAGGUUUUCUAAUAAAUGUUAAGGAUUCUAUCACAUCUUAAAACGUGUAUUGGGUGUUUUUAGAAGAAAAGUAACGAUAUUGUUUGUCUCUAUCUGUACAAAACAUGUGCUAAACCGACUAAUGGAAACUUUUCGUUUCUAUGGAUUUAAUUUCUCCUUAAUUUUUUUUAUUUCAUAUUAAAUUCUUUGGAAAUGCCAGCCUUCACUGUGCUUUUCUUAGCUGUGUACUUAAACGUACUAUAACGGCUGAUAUUGUGCUGGAAACAUGAAACAUUCCUACACUCUAUAUAAGGAGUCGUCGGUCUCAACCUAGAUUCAUAGAGGACAUUUAACCUUCUUCAACUCUGAGUUAUUAGUUUCUUAUCUUGAACUCUCUUAUGUGCCUCUUCAUAUGUUGAUAAAGUCAGAAAUGUUUGAGCUCUAUGUAGAUCCAAGUUCUAUGAGGAAUGGUAAAAUGGAGUAUUACACGGUAAACCAUUAGUUCUAAGUCUUAGAGCUAUAUCAUUUUUCACCUCGCUUGCGUUGAUGAAGGUUUAGGGGAAGCAAUAGUCAUUAACAAGAAUUCAUGCAUACGAUCACAUGCCCUAACUACAUCUAUGAAAUUUCAGAAAUGGUGGUACCUUCUAUCAGGAGAGUGCAAAACAAAAUUUUGUACGGAAUUUCCAGUAGCCCUGAUGAUAGAAUUACUACUUGGGUUUUACAUCCUAUAGAUCAUUGGGUAAUAUCAAUUUUGGGUCAAGGGCAAGCUAUGCAAUACACAACAUCAAAUGGUGAACACCAGGGAUACAUGAUGCUCCUUGAAAUUUCUUUCCUCGACUUGUUUCACAAGGUAGGCCUAAUCUCAUGUUAAAUUACGCUUCAGUAUGUUUUUGUUUCUACAAUACAUAUGUGAAUUCAUUUUCAUAAAUACUGUUAUUGUGCAAUUAGUGGCCCUUUCAUUCUCAUCGAACUUACCUUAAAUUUCUAUUUGGUUCUAUUUACAGUUGUUGCUGUUAGUGGAAGCUUUGACUUUUGUUGGGUUCAGACAAGGUGGAUUUCUAGUGUGAAUCUCAAAAUAUUUCUUUUUGGGAUGGUUGGUCCAAAGUCCAAACCAAUCAGUUGAUUAUUGAUGAAUUCACCCUGUGAGAUGACAAAAUCUUUUAUUGACAUUCCACUGUGGAAGCUCUUGCUUCUCACUCUUAGAAAGGACAGCACCAACAAUCAAUUCAUCAAGACUUAGGUCGGGGUUACCUCCACAAGGAUUUGAGAGUUCUUGGGAAAAACCUCAAUGCUUGAUCGAGCCUCAGUAGAUUUAUGCGCCCAAAACCUUCGCAUCUGACACCUUUGUCUUUAUCUUUCUCUAACCUUCCUCACAUGGCAAAAUAGUACCAGAAAUAAAAAUGUUAUCAACUUCAAACAUCUCAAAUGGCUGUGGAUUUCCAUCUGCAUCAUAUGGGCAGAGGUUGUAAAAUAUCAUUCGGGAGAAAACUUUCAAAUUCAGUUGCAUGUCACAGCUCAAGCACAUAAGGACCAAGAUAUGGCUUUAAAAAUUUUGAUUCUCUUCUCAUGCGUUUUCUCUGAUGGAACUAAAGACAAUGUACUCCCAACAACUUUUCCUUAACAAUUCGAGCUUUCAGGUGAAAUGGUAACGAACAUAGGUAUACAUAAUUCUGCAUAGAAGAUGCCCUUCUUGCAUUUUUCCACUCUCCAGGGCCACCAUACACCAUGUCCUCUUGCCUCAUCAAGUUUGAUCAUUGAAGAUGAGAUUAGUAGAGACCAGCACAAAUCUUCCUUAUGUAUUUUGUAGAGAGAGAGAGUUUUCUUUCCUUUGAUCAAAGACAUUUAUUUGUUAAUUAAGUUUAUUUUUUUAACAAUAUGUUGAUAGAAAGUUUAAAGUUUCCAAAUUA